rnacentral:rRNA from 1 species
GAUGAACGCUGGCGGCGUGCUUAACACAUGCAAGUCGAACGAUGAUGCCCAGCUUGCUGGGUGGAUUAGUGGCGAACGGGUGAGUAACACGUGAGUAACCUGCCCUUGACUCUGGGAUAAGCCUGGGAAACUGGGUCUAAUACCGGAUACGACCAUCUGGCGCAUGUCAUGGUGGUGGGAAGCUUUUGUGGUUUUGGAUGGACUCGCGGCCUAUCAGCUUGUUGGUGGGGUAAUGGCCUACCAAGGCGACGACGGGUAGCCGGCCUGAGAGGGUGACCGGCCACACUGGGACUGAGACACGGCCCAGACUCCUACGGGAGGCAGCAGUGGGGAAUAUUGCACAAUGGGCGCAAGCCUGAUGCAGCGACGCCGCGUGAGGGAUGACGGCCUUCGGGUUGUAAACCUCUUUCAGUAGGGAAGAAGCGAAAGUGACGGUACCUGCAGAAGAAGCGCCGGCUAACUACGUG